GACGAACGCUGGCGGCGUGCUUAACACAUGCAAGUCGAACGGAAAGGCCCUGCUUUUGUGGGGUGCUCGAGUGGCGAACGGGUGAGUAACACGUGAGUAACCUGCCCUUGACUUUGGGAUAACUUCAGGAAACUGGGGCUAAUACCGGAUAGGAGCUCCUGCUGCAUGGUGGGGGUUGGAAAGUUUCGGCGGUUGGGGAUGGACUCGCGGCUUAUCAGCUUGUUGGUGGGGUAGUGGCUUACCAAGGCUUUGACGGGUAGCCGGCCUGGGAGGGGGACCGGGCACAAUUGGAAUUAGGAACGGCCCAGGCGUCUACCGGAGGCAGCAGUGGGGAAUAUUGCACAAUGGGCGGAAGCCUGAUGCAGCAACGCCGCGUGCGGGAUGACGGCCUUCGGGUUGUAAACCGCUUUCGCCUGUGACGAAGCGUGAGUGACGGUAAUGGGUAAAGAAGCACCGGCUAACUACGUG
rnacentral:rRNA from 1 species